rnacentral:rRNA from 1 species
GCGUGCAGGAUGAAGGCCUUAGGGUUGUAAAGCUCUUUUACCCGGGAUGAUAAUGACAGUACCGGGAGAAUAAGCCCCGGCUAACUCCGUGCCAGCAGCCGCGGUAACACGGAGGGGGCUAGCGUUGUUCGGAAUUACUGGGCGUAAAGCGCACGUAGGCGGACACUUAAGUCAGGGGUGAAAUCCCGGGGCUCAACCUCGGAACUGCCUUUGAAACUAGGUUGCUAGAAUCUUGGAGAGGUCAGUGGAAUUCCGAGUGUAGAGGUGAAAUUCGU